UUUUUUUUUUUUUUUUUUUUUUUUUUUUUUUCAGCAUGAAUUGAUAUGAAAUCACUACUUGGUAGCUAUGAUUGAUUUUGGUGUCAAUAGCCAUCUUGUUUAAACCAUUUCUUAGUAGCCAUUUCAUUAAUGAAUUUUUGACUUUGUUUAGUUAGUUUUCUAUUUUUCUAAUUCUGUAAAAUUAGUAGGUUCUGUACAUCUAAAAAGUUAUACGUGCAGAACCCUAAUUCUAUUUCCAAGUCUUGUAUUCCUUCCCUAUUUCAGAAGGGAGAUGAUUAACCCUUUCCAACAGGACUAGACAAGGAUUUCUGAAGAUGGAUUCCAGUGCGAUAAUCACAUUCUUUAUUCAUGCAUAGAAGGAAUCUUGAAGGAUAGUUUCAGGGUUUUGUUCUUUGGUCCUACUGAUGAUCAAAAUUUGGGUCCAUUGGUUUGUAAUUGCGAAUUCUCUUAGGGUUCUCAUUUUAUGUGUGUUUAUUUCAGAAAUUCUGUCUCAGAGAAACAAUUUUCUCUCUUGUUUCUAUAAUUUCCUCUUUACAAUAAUGUUCUUUUGUUGGUUCAUUAGGAUGAUUACAAAGAUGAUCAAAAUUG
rnacentral:lncRNA from 1 species